rnacentral:rRNA from 1 species
UACGUAGGGUGCAAGCGUUGUCCGGAAUUAUUGGGCGUAAAGAGCUCGUAGGCGGUUCGUCGCGUCGGCUGUGAAAUCUCGAGGCUCAACCUCGGGUCUGCAGUCGAUACGGGCGGACUGGAGUUCGGCAGGGGAGACUGGAAUUCCUGGUGUAGCGGUGAAAUGCGCAGAUAUCAGGAGGAACACCGGUGGCGAAGGCGGGUCUCUGGGCCGAUACUGACGCUGAGGAGCGAAAGCGUGGGGAGCGAACAGG